rnacentral:rRNA from 1 species
GUAACGCGUGAGUAACCUGCCUUCAAGAGGGGGAUAACAUUCUGAAAAGAAUGCUAAUACCGCAUGACAUAUCGGAACCACAUGGUUUUGAUAUCAAAGAUUUUAUCGCUUGAAGAUGGACUCGCGUCCGAUUAGUUAGUUGGUGAGGUAACGGCUCACCAAGACCGCGAUCGGUAGCCGGACUGAGAGGUUGAACGGCCACAUUGGGACUGAGACACGGCCCAGACUCCUACGGGAGGCAGCAUG